rnacentral:piRNA from 1 species
UACCUUAAACUCUGUAGAUGUUUA